UACGUAGGGUGCGAGCGUUGUCCGGAAUUACUGGGCGUAAAGAGCUCGUAGGUGGUUCGUCGCGUUGUUCGUGAAAACCGGGGGCUUAACCCUCGGCGUGCGGGCGAUACGGGCAGACUUGAGUACUGCAGGGGAGACUGGAAUUCCUGGUGUAGCGGUGAAAUGCGCAGAUAUCAGGAGGAACACCGGUGGCGAAGGCGGCCUGCUGGGCAGUAGCUGACACUGAGGCGCGACAGCGUGGGGAGCAAACAGG
rnacentral:rRNA from 1 species